UAAUCCCAAGCCUAUCACAACCAAAGAAAACAUAAUACUUGCAUCAGAACAGAUGAGGUAAUGUAUGCAGUGCCAUUUACAACAUAGUGUGCCAAAUUCCUGAUCUGACAAGAAGUAAUUAAAUAAUAUCUUCUUUCACCAAUCAAAAGUUGCAAGUCCUUCAGUUUCAAUAUAACUUGACUAAAUUUCUUAGACUACUGACACAAGUGUAACAGCAGAAAACUUUGGUCAGUAAAACAAUAUCUUUUAAUGUUCACCCUAUAUGUAGCUAGUAAAAGUUCAAUGCCACAGGCAUGUACAAGUACUGACUACUGAAGACGCGUGAAGCCUAGGCAUAAAGCAAUGGUGCACGCCCAAGAGGCACGCAUCUUUGAAAUAAGGUUCUUUUUAUGCCAACAUUUUUUUCAUUUUGCCUUUCUUACCACAAAUCAAGACUUGCUCCAAUCAUCAACAUAGUUAUUAACAUAAUAAGGUUAAUUAUGUUAAAAACAAAGUUACCCAAGAAAAAGCCAUAAAACUUAAAAUUUAUAACAAUUUACAUGAGAAAGAAAUAAAAUGCAAGAUAA
rnacentral:misc_RNA from 1 species